rnacentral:rRNA from 1 species
AGAGUUUGAUCCUGGCUCAGAUUGAACGCUGGCGGCAUGCCUUACACAUGCAAGUCGAACGGCAGCACGGGGGCAACCCUGGUGGCGAGUGGCGAACGGGUGAGUAAUACAUCGGAACGUGUCCUGUAGUGGGGGAUAGCCCGGCGAAAGCCGGAUUAAUACCGCAUACGAUCUACGGAAGAAAGCGGGGGAUCCUUCGGGACCUCGCGCUAUAGGGGCGGCCGAUGGCAGAUUAGCUAGUUGGUGGGGUAAAGGCCUACCAAGGCGACGAUCUGUAGCUGGUCUGAGAGGACGACCAGCCACACUGGGACUGAGACACGGCCCAGACUCCUACGGGAGGCAGCAGUGGGGAAUUUUGGACAAUGGGCGCAAGCCUGAUCCAGCAAUGCCGCGUGAGUGAAGAAGGCCUUCGGGUUGUAAAGCUCUUUUGUCAGGGAAGAAACGGUCUUGGUUAAUACCUGGGGCUAAUGACGGUACCUGAAGAAUAAGCACCGGCUAACUACGUGCCAGCAGCCGCGGUAAUACGUAGGGUGCAAGCGUUAAUCGGAAAUUACUGGGCGUAARSCGUGCGCAGGCGGUUGUGUAAGACAGGUGUGAAAUCCCCGGGCUUAACCUGGGAAUGGCAUUUGUGACUGCACGGCUAGAGUGUGUCAGAGGGGGGUAGAAUUCCACGUGUAGCAGUGAAAUGCGUAGAGAUGUGGAGGAAUACCGAUGGCGAAGGCAGCCCCCUGGGAUAACACUGACGCUCAUGCACGAAAGCGUGGGGAGCAAACAGGAUUAGAUACCCUGGUAGUCCACGCCCUAAACGAUGUCUACUAGUUGUCGGGUCUUAAUUGACUUGGUAACGCAGCUAACGCGUGAAGUAGACCGCCUGGGGAGUACGGUCGCAAGAUUAAAACUCAAAGGAAUUGACGGGGACCCGCACAAGCGGUGGAUGAUGUGGAUUAAUUCGAUGCAACGCGAAAAACCUUACCUACCCUUGACAUGGCUGGAAUCCUUGAGAGAUCAGGGAGUGCUUGAAAGAGAACCAGUACACAGGUGCUGCAUGGCUGUCGUCAGCUCGUG